rnacentral:tRNA from 1 species
UCUGACAUGGCAGACCAUGUAAUGCAAUGAGCCUAAGAUUCAUCAACGAAGUAUAAACUUCUGUCAGAA